GACGAACGCUGGCGGCGUGCUUAACACAUGCAAGUCACGGGGGCCCGCAAGGGCAACCGGCGAACGGGUGCGUAACACGUGAGCAACCUACCUCGAUGCGGGGGAUAGCCGGCCCAACGGCCGGGUAAUACCGCAUACGAUUCUCGAGAGGAGUCUCUUGGGAAGGAAACCUUCGGGGCAUUGAGAGGGGCUCGCGGCCUAUCAGCUAGUUGGCGGUGUAACGGACCACCAAGGCGACGACGGGUAGCUGGUCUGAGAGGAUGGCCAGCCACAUUGGGACUGAGAGACGGCCCAGACUCCUACGGGAAGCAGCAGUGGGGAAUCUUGCGCAAUGGCCGAAAGGCUGACGCAGCGACGCCGCGUGUGGGAUGAAGCAUUUCGGUGUGUAAACCACUGUUGCCCGGGACGAACAGCUU
rnacentral:rRNA from 1 species